UCACUCCAGAGUCCUACACGUCCAAGGACCUGCGCGCAGACACGCUCUGAACAGCCCGUCACGGACGCCUUUCUCCAUUGGAGAUUUCCUUAGGGCAUCUUUUGGAUUAUUUUUCAUUCAAGACUUUCAGAACAGAGAAAAAGCAGUGCGCUUUCACUUGUCCUCAGAGACAAGCAGCUGUUUUUAAUGUGUGGUUUCUCUUUGCAUUGGGUCAAAGUGUGAAGUCUUUUUUUUUUUUUUUUUUUUGCUAAGGUGAAGGACAAGUGCAAUGUGCGCUAGACUUGUUUAUUGGAUUUGCCUCACGCGUGCGUAAGGAAGGUAUAUGCUGUGGAGGAGCACAGGGCUUUUUCCAAGAGGACGCAGCUCAAUGUGAAUAAAAAGAAAACUGCUCAGCCCGAGAGUUUCAAGCAAGUACAAGCAGCGCGUCUGGCCGAGCUGCUCUGACUACACCGUUUCCCUCCCUGAGGGGAUGGUUGUGGAUCCUCUGGAGCCAGGAGCGAGUCAGGGGCUCCUACGCGGCAGCACAUUUUUCGUGUUUGAGGGAGACUUUACAGUAAAAGGAGAUGAGAGCCACAAUUUGCUGCUUCCUUCUGUGGACGACGUACCUGCUGGCCACUGCUGAGAAGGAAGUGGAGUUUCCCCAGGAGCUGAUCGAUCGACUCUCCAACAGUGAAAUCCACAGCAUCAGCGACCUCCAGCGGUUACUGGAGAUUGACUCCGUAGGUACGGGAAACGAUGUUGUUGAGGAGCAUAAGCACCACAAGCACCACAACCACCAUAAGAACUCGUCCCAUCAUCAUGGUUACUACAACGAACUGAAAAGCUCCCAGCUGCACAGCCGACGCAAGAGGAGCAUUGUCGAAGAGGCCGUCCCGGCAGCAUGCAAGACGCGGACGGUGAUCUACGAGAUCCCCCGGAGCCAGGUGGAUCCCACAUCUGCCAACUUCCUGAUAUGGCCGCCCUGUGUGGAGGUGAAGCGCUGCACAGGAUGCUGCAACACCAGCAACAUGCGCUGUCACCCUUCCCGCAAGCACCACCGCACCGUUAAGGUAGCCAAGGUGGAGUACGUGAGGAGGAGACCCAAGCUGAAGGAGGUCUUUGUGAGGUUAGAGGACCACCUGGAGUGUGUGUGCACAUCGCAACAUCAUGUGGUAGAACACUUAGAUGCAGAAACAGGCCAUCGUAGGGUUAAAGGUAAAAAAAGGAAACCUAAAAAGCUAAGGCCCACCAAGGACUUAUUGGUGACAUAAUUAAGGUGCUCUUAUUACCCAAAGUCCACUGCAAGGCUGUGACAGGACACAGCAGAUGUGAGGUGAGACCUCCCAGACUUAGGGGCAGCAUUACAGGAUGGACCUAAACCAGAAGAGGACACCAUCUUCUUUGUCUGUCUCUCCACCCAUCAUGCAAACAUUGAUUAAGGAAAAUAUACUUCAAAAGUCUUGAGACUGAAAAGUAGACAACAGACUAAAAUACAGAAUGCCAAAUGUGCUUUCAAAACUAGUAAUGAUGAGGGCAACUGAACUACGAUUACGAAGAAAAAAAGAUGCCAUGAAGCUCAGACUUCAAGAAGAUGGAAGGAAUUUGGGAUGAACAAUUCAAAAGACACGCAAAAGGAAAGUAGACUGUGGGAUCAGACUUUUUUUCUGAGAAUCCAGUGCUAUAACUCAAAGUGCCCUGUUUGUAUAAAAAACUGUUGCAUUCAUAAGAAGAAAGCAAAAGGAAGAUUGGUAUAAAGAUGCAAGGAAACAGAUUGGGAGUGUUCGUUUUGCAGAACUAUAAGAGGCAGCAGACAUUGUGACUGGUGGACAAUUUGUUCUAAUUAAGGAAGAAACAGCCUCAGAGACUUCCAGUUUUGAAAUUGCCUUACCUGCUUGUACAUAUAAAUCUACAAAAAAAAAAAAAAAACGGAGGAUGCGCCGCUGCUUACAAACUAUUUAUGCGUGUGGACAUUUGCUUUUGUCACUUUCAAUCUUCGCGAAAGGACAAAAAAAUAUGUUUUUAUUAAUUCCCGCAGACAUACUGGUAUGUUUGGUGCAGUCCUUUGCUUUCACUAGUAUCACAAUCUCAGUGUCAUUUUUGUUUUUUACCAGUUGUUUUUUGUUGUUUUUUUCCAUCGUCAACCAUGUUUCGUAUUAUAUUGCAGUAUAUCUGAUUGAUGUCAAGUUUUGCAUAUGGUUCAGAUGUAUGUGUGCAAGGAGGAGAUGUGAGAGUCAGUAAAGGAAGAUGUUUUAUUUUUGUUAUGAAAUAUAUUAUGCAUACUUAUAUCCAAGCAGGAAUGAUGUUUUCUUUAUUUUCUUUUGGAAAACAAUGCAAAUAAUUUUAGAAGAUGGUUAAAUUGGUAAGGUUGAAAUCUGUUUGCAUCACUGUUGUGCAAAGGGUAUAAAAAAGGAGAAUCAAUAGCUAGUAGUGGCUUAUAUUUCCUUAUGCUGCAGUCAUGUUUCAUUUUUGAGACAAACAAACAAGCAAAUAUCACAUAGAUUUCACAAUACGUUGAUGACAAUUGCAUAACUACACCAGAAAAGGUACCACAGUGUGCAGAUCUAAGUAAACAUGUGGUUGGAGCUGGGUCUGUGUCCUUACAAUGAAGCAAUAUUUGGUGUCUUAAACUCAUGUUCAAGAUUCACUUUCAUUGGAUUUAGUUUCGCAUAUUUAAAUCCUUUGUCUCUAAAUCCAUAGUUUCCAUUAAGCCAGUCAAGAAAAUGCUACAGUUUGGUGAGCUGAAUCCACAUUGCGGUCAUCUAUAUGACAUCCAUGUCAGAAGUGAAAGAUGUGGACUUGUGUUGAAUUAAAGAUACAUUCCUUGUUUUGUGUAAGCAUACCAGUAGAUAAAAAAUCUGUUAAUGAAUGCUGAAGACAUAAAUGCAGCAGAGACUCAUUAUCCAGUACAAAUAUAACCAGAGCUACAGUAGGAUGGAAUGUUUUUGAUCAAAGCACAUUUAUUUUCUGAAAUGGCCCAUGCAAAGUGGAGAAUCCAGUUAAGAAUCCUUGACUAAACUAGAAUACUGACUUUCUUGUUAGUUUCCAGGGAUGCCUGGAAACUAACGAAUUUCCCCCUCAACCCCCCCAUAAAAUUAUACCAUAACAUUGAUCUUAUUAUGGUAUGCAAAAUGUAUCUAAAUUCAACAGAAACAUUUGGUUAGAGGUAUUUUAUAUCCAUAUCAUAAAACACAACUAUAUAAGUCACUGAAGUCCUUUUUCUUUUUUUUUUUUUUUACACAUAUUUUUUAGUGAUUGUUUUCUGCAAGCUGAAAGUCCCUGUCUUCAAAUAAAUUCAAGGUUAAAUUAA